ACAAGGAUUCCCCUAGUAACUGCGAGUGAAGCGGGAAAAGCUCAAAUUUAAAAUCUGGCUGUCUCCGGCCGUCCGAUUUGUAAUCUAGAGAAUUGCUAUCCGUCGCUGGACCGUGUAUAAGUCUCCUGGAACGGAUCGUCAUAAAGGGUGAGAAUCCCGUCUUUGACACGGACUCCCGGGGCUUUGUGAUGCGCUCUCUAAGAGUCGAGUUGUUUGGGAAUGCAGCUCAAAAUGGGUGGUAAAUUCCAUCUAAAGCUAAAUAUGGGCGAGAGACCGAUAGCGAACAAGUACCGUGAGGGAAAGAUGAAAAGCACUUUGGAAAGAGAG
rnacentral:rRNA from 1 species